GCCUGGGUGGCUCAGUCGGUUAAGCACCUGUCUUCAGCUCAGGUCGUGAUCCCAGGGUCCUGGGAUCGAGUCCCACAUCAGGCC
rnacentral:tRNA from 1 species